UAAAGGAUAAGAUGUCCGGUACAUUCGA
rnacentral:sRNA from 1 species